rnacentral:rRNA from 1 species
GGGGAAUAUUGCACAAUGGGGGAAACCCUGAUGCAGCGACGCCGCGUGGAGGAAGAAGGUCUUCGGAUUGUAAACUCCUGUUGUUGAGGAAGAUAAUGACGGUACUCAACAAGGAAGUGACGGCUAACUACGUGCCAGCAGCCGCGGUAAAACGUAGGUUACAAGCGUUGUCCGGAAUUACUGGGUGUAAAGGGAGCGCAGGCGGGAAGACAAGUUGGAAGUGAAAUCCAUGGGCUCAACCCAUGAACUGCUUUCAAAACUGUGUUUCUUGAGUAGUGCAGAGGUAGGCGGAAUUCCCGGUGUAGCGGUGGAAUGCGUAGAUAUCGGGAGGAACACCAGUGGCGAAGGCGGCCUACUGGGCACCAACUGACGCUGAGGCUCGAAAGUGUGGGUAGCAAAC